GCCCCCGUUGUCUAAUGGUUAUGACGUCAGACUUCUAUAACAUCAGCUUAUAUCUGGAGGUUGCGGGUUCGAAUCCCGCCGGGGGUU